UACGAAGGGGGCUAGCGUUGCUCGGAAUCACUGGGCGUAAAGGGUGCGUAGGCGGGUCUUUAAGUCAGGGGUGAAAUCCUGGAGCUCAACUCCAGAACUGCCUUUGAUACUGAGGAUCUUGAGUUCGGGAGAGGUGAGUGGAACUGCGAGUGUAGAGGUGAAAUUCGUAGAUAUUCGCAAGAACACCAGUGGCGAAAGCGGCGCACUGGACCCUUUCUGACGCUGAGGCGCGAAAGCCAGGGGAGCAAACGGG
rnacentral:rRNA from 1 species